rnacentral:rRNA from 2 species
GGGUUGUGAGGUUAAGCGACUAAGCGUACACGGUGGAUGCCCUGGCAGUCAGAGGCGAUGAAGGGCGUGCUAAUCUGCGAUAAGCGCCGGUAAGGUGAUAUGAACCGUUAUAACCGGCGAUACCCGAAUGGGGAAACCCAGUGUGACUCGUCACACUAUCAUUAACUGAAUCCAUAGGUUAAUGAGGCGAACCGGGGGAACUGAAACAUCUAAGUACCCCGAGGAAAAGAAAUCAACCGAGAUUCCCCCAGUAGCGGCGAGCGAACGGGGAGGAGCCCAGAGCCUGAAUCAGCAUGUGUGUUAGUGGAAGCGUCUGGAAAGGCGCGCGAUACAGGGUGACAGCCCCGUACACAAAAGCGCAUGUGCUGUGAGCUCGAUGAGUAGGGCGGGACACGUGGUAUCCUGUCUGAAUAUGGGGGGACCAUCCUCCAAGGCUAAAUACUCCUGACUGACCGAUAGUGAACCAGUACCGUGAGGGAAAGGCGAAAAGAACCCCGGCGAGGGGAGUGAAAAAGAACCUGAAACCGUGUACGUACAAGCAGUGGGAGCCCCACCACCAAAGCAUUUGCUGUACCGCGUUGACGGAG